rfam:Myotis brandtii contig223177, whole genome shotgun sequence.
GUCUGCGGGGCCUAAUAGAUAAGGUGUCUGAUUCUGAAUCAGAAGAUUGAGGGUUCAAGUCCCUUCAUAGUUG